rnacentral:rRNA from 1 species
AUACGGAGGAUGCGAGCGUUAUCCGGAUUUAUUGGGUUUAAAGGGAGCGUAGGCGGGAGCUUAAGUCAGCGGUUAAAUGGUGCGGCUCAACCGUGCCCUGCCGUUGAAACUGGGUUUCUUGAGAGUGCAAGAGGCGGAUGGAAUUCAUGGUGUAGCGGUGAAGUGCUUAGAUAUCAUGAAGAACUCCGAUUGCGAAGGCAGUCCGCUGGGGCACGUCUGACGCUGAUGCUCGAAGGUGCGGGAAUCAAACAGGAUUAGAUACCCUGGUAGUCCGCACGGUAAACGAUGAUUACCCGCUGUCGGCGGUAGACAGUCGGCGGCCAAGCGAAAGCGAUAAGUAAUCCACCUGGGGAGUACGCCGGCAACGGUGAAACUCAAAGGAAUUGACGGGG